GGAUCUAUAAUGUGUACGUGCAGCCCCAGCCGUCCGGCCGGGUGCGCUCUCCCUCUCUCACCCACACCCACACCCACACCCCGAUAUGGUCACGGCUCCUAUUCAUCGUCUACCUCGAAUCGUAGUCCUCGCACGAGAGAGCACUGCACAAUGCAAUGCAAUGCUGCAACCAUCGACCAGGAUGUAUCAUGCUGCACAACCACCUACCUUACCAGCUUUUUCUU
rnacentral:lncRNA from 1 species